rnacentral:SRP_RNA from 1 species
GCCAGGUGUGGUGGCGCACACCUGUAAUCUCAGCUGCUUGGGAGGCUGAGACAUGAGAAUUACUUGAACCCAGGAGGCAGAGGUUGCAGUGAGCCGAGAUUGUGCCACUGCACCCCAUCCUGGGUGACAGAGUGAGACUCUGUCUAAA